UACGGGGGGGGCAAGCGUUGUUCGGAAUUACUGGGCGUAAAGGGCGCGUAGGCGGCCAUCUAAGUCAGACGUGAAAUCCCUCGGCUCAACCGAGGAACUGCGUCUGAUACUGGAAGGCUUGAAUCCGGGAGAGGGAUGUGGAAUUCCAGGUGUAGCGGUGAAAUGCGUAGAUAUCUGGAGGAACACCGGUGGCGAAGGCGGCAUCCUGGACCGGUAUUGACGCUGAGGCGCGAAGGCCAGGGGAGCAAACGGG
rnacentral:rRNA from 1 species